GACGAACCGUGCGAACGUUAUUCGGAAUCACUGGGCUUAAAGCGCGUGUAGGCGGGAGGGCACGUCCGUCGCUGAAAUCCCCCGGCUCAACCGAGGAAUUGCGCUCUAAACUACUGUGCUUGAGGAACCUAGAGGUGAGCAGAACUGAUGGUGGAGCGGUGAAAUGCGUUGAUAUCAUCAGGAAUACCGGAGGCGAAGGCGGCUCACUGGGGGUUUUCUGGACGCUGAGGAACGAAAGCCAGGGGAGCGAACGGGGAUU
rnacentral:rRNA from 1 species